UACAGAGGUGGCAAGCGUUGUUCGGAAUUACUGGGCGUAAAGGGCGCGUAGGCGGUUCGUUAAGUCCUGUGUGAAAUCCCCCGGCUCAACUGGGGAACUGCGUCUGAUACUGGAUGGCUUGAGUUUGGGAGAGGGAUGCGGAAUUCCAGGUGUAGCGGUGAAAUGCGUAGAUAUCUGGAGGAACACCGGUGGCGAAGGCGGCAUCCUGGACCAACACUGACACUGAGGAGCGAAAGCCAGGGGAGCAAACGGG
rnacentral:rRNA from 1 species